ensembl:snRNA U6 U6 spliceosomal RNA
GUGCUUGCUUCGACAGCACAUAUACUAAAAUUUGAACAAUACAGAGAUAAACGUGACCCCUGCACAAAAAUGACACACAAGUUCGUGAAGCAUUCCAUAUAAAA